UGGGGCUGUGGGGUAGCCUGGUAGCCUUAGAGGUUUGGGACCUCUCGACCCCGGUUCAAAUCCGGGCAGCCCCAU
rnacentral:tRNA from 1 species